UACGUAGGGGGCAAGCGUUAUCCGGAUUUACUGGGUGUAAAGGGAGCGUAGACGGCAAGGCAAGUCUGAAGUGAAAACCCGGUGCUUAACGCCGGGACUGCUUUGGAAACUGUUUAGCUGGAGUGCCGGAGAGGUAAGCGGAAUUCCUAGUGUAGCGGUGAAAUGCGUAGAUAUUAGGAAGAACACCAGUGGCGAAGGCGGCUUACUGGACGGUAACUGACGUUGAGGCUCGAAAGCGUGGGGAGCAAACAGG
rnacentral:rRNA from 1 species